rnacentral:siRNA from 1 species
CAGGAUAGCUGGAGCUCGGAC